UUGGAGGGCAAGUUGGUGCCAGCAGCCGCGGUAAUUCCAGCUCCAAUAGCGUAUAUUAAAGUUGUUGCAGUUAAAAAGCUCGUAGUUGAAUUUCGGGGUCAGUAGGUUGGUCAUGCCACUGGUAUGUACUGGUCUCACUGAUUCCUCCUUCCUGAUGAACUGUAAUGCCAUUAAUUUGGUGUUGCAGGGAAUCUGGACUGUUACUUUGAAAAAAUUAGAGUGUUUAAAGCAGGCUAACGCUUGAAUACAUUAGCGUGGAAUAAUGAAAUAGGACGUUCGACCCUAUUUUGUUGGUUUCUAGGAUCGACGUAAUGAUUAAUAGGGAUAGUUGGGGGCAUUAGUAUUCAAUUGUCAGAGGUGAAAUUCUUGGAUUUAUUGAAGACUGACUACUGCGAAAGCAUUUGCCAAGGAUGUUUUCAUUAAUCAAGAACGAAAGUUAGGGGAUCGAAGACGAUCAGAUACCGUCGUAGUCCUAACCAUAAACUAUGCCGACUAGGGAUCGGAUGAUGUUAAUUUUUUAAUGGCUCAUUCGGCGCCUUACGGGAAAC
rnacentral:rRNA from 1 species